GUAGGAUAGAGGCCUACCAUGGUGGUAACGGGUAACGGGGUGUUAGGGCACGACACCGGAGAGGGAGCCUGAGAAACGGCUACCACAUCCAAGGAUGGCAGCAGGCGCGCAAAUUACCCAAUCCCGACACGGGGAGGUAGUGACAAUAAAUAACAAUACGGGGUUCUUAAGGAUCUCGUAAUUGGAAUGAGUACAAUUUAAAUCUCUUAACGAGGAACAAUUGGAGGGCAAGUCUGGUGCCAGCAGCCGCGGUAAUUCCAGCUCCAAUAGCGUAUAUUAAAGUUGUUGCAGUUAAAAAGCUCGUAGUUGAAUUUCGUGAUCAAUUUGUCGGUCGUGCCUCGGUACGUACUGGCAUUAUUGGUUUCUACCUUCUGAAGAACCUUGAUGUCAUUAAUUCGGUGUCUUGGGGAAUCAGGACUGUUACUUUGAAAAAAUUAGAGUGUUUAAAGCAGGCAUACGCUUGAAUACAUUAGCAUGGAAUAAUGAAACAGGACGUUUGAUUCUAUUUUGUUGGUUUCUAGGAUCGACGUAAUGAUUAAUAGGGAUAGUUGGGGGCAUUAGUAUUCAAUUGUCAGAGGUGAAAUUCUUGGAUUUAUUGAAGACUAACUACUGCGAAAGCAUUUGCCAAGGAUGUUUUCAUUAAUCAAGAACGAAAGUUAGGGGAUCGAAGACGAUCAGAUACCGUCGUAGUCUUAACCAUAAACUAUGCCGACUAGGGAUCGGAUGAUGUUAUUUUUAAUGACUCAUUCGGCGCCUUACGGGAAACCAAAGUGUUUGGGUUC
rnacentral:rRNA from 1 species